rnacentral:rRNA from 1 species
CGACGCUGGCGGCGUGCCUAACACAUGCAAGUCAAGGAGAAUUCCCGACUUGUCGGGAUAGUAAACUGGCGAACGGGUGAGUAACACGUAGGUAAUCUACCCUCGGGAUCGGGAUAACCUCGCGAAAGUGGGGAUAAUACCGAAUAAAGUCUCGGUAUAAUUUGUCGAGAUGAAAGAUGGGGAUCUUCGGACCUAUUACCUGAGGAUGAGCCUGCGCCUGAUUAGCUAGUUGGUAGGGUAAAUGCCUACCAAGGCAACGAUCAGUAGCUGGUCUGAGAGGAUGAUCAGCCACAUUGGGACUGAGAUACGGCCCAGACUCCUACGGGAGGCAGCAGUGAGGAAUUUUGCGCAAUGGGCGAAAGCCUGACGCAGCAACGCCGCGUGACUGAUUAAGCUCUGAGGAGUGUAAAAGUCUGUCGUAGAGGAAGAAACUAUCCGAUAAGAAUAUUGUCGGAUACUGACGGUACUCUAUGAGAAAGCUCCGGCUAACUCCGUG